rnacentral:rRNA from 1 species
GAUGAACGCUAGCUACAGGCUUAACACAUGCAAGUCGAGGGGAAACGAUAUUGGAAGCUUGCUUCCGAUAGGCGUCGACCGGCGCACGGGUGAGUAACGCGUAUCCAACCUGCCCAUCACUUGGGGAUAACCUUGCGAAAGUAAGACUAAUACCCAAUGAUAUUUAUAGAAGGCAUCCGAAAUGAAUUAAAGAUUUAUCGGUGAUGGAUGGGGAUGCGUCUGAUUAGCUUGUUGGCGGGGUAACGGCCCACCAAGGCGACGAUCAGUAGGGGUUCUGGGAGGAAGUUCCCCCACAUUGGAACUGAGGCACGGUCCAAACUCAUACGGGAGGCAGCAGUGAGGAAUAUUGGUCAAUGGGCGAGAGCCUGAACCAGCCAAGUAGCGUGCAGGAUGACGGCCCUAUGGGUUGUAAACUGCUUUUAUAGGGGAAUAAAGUGAGCCACGUGUGGUUUUUUGCAUGUACCCUAUGAAUAAGGACCGGCUAAUUCCGUGCCAGCAGCCGCCGUAAUAC